GCCUCCUGCAAAGAUCGAAGUAUAGGAGGUCUUGCCUGCCCAGUGAUAAAUUAAACGGCCGCGGUAUUUUGACCGUGCGAAGGUAGCGCAAUCACUUGUCUUUUAAAUGAAGACCUGUAUGAAUGGCGGAACGAGGGCUUAACUGUCUCCCCUUUCCAGUCAAUGAAAUUGAUCUGCCCGUGCAGAAGCGGGCAUAAAUAUACAAGACGAGAAGACCCUUUGGAGCUUAAGAUACAAGAUCAACCAUGUCAAGAACACAAAACAAGUUAAACUAAAUGGUGCCUGACUCCUAUCUUCGGUUGGGGCGACCACGGGAGAAAACAAAGCUCCCACGCGG
rnacentral:rRNA from 1 species